AUACUCAGGUUUCUCUUCAUAUCGCACAAGUCUUUCGCCUUUUACUAAAGACUUCCGUGGAAAGGAACACCAAUGAGUUGCACCUAUUUUUGGACGGCUUUGCCACUCGGCUGAGC